GCCAGGUUUGUUGGCAGACGUGUGGUGUAGCGCGGAGAGUGCACAAGAGCAGCUGUUGCGUCCAUGAAAGAUCAUGUGUACUUCCCUGAACAAGUCUAUACGUUCCGGAGGAUUUCAGAAGACGUGUUGCACCGGUGGCGUGGUGUCGAGGAAAGCACCCCUUUGUAUCCCUGCCUAACAUUUUAUUGAAAAUGGGUGCUCCAGAGUUUGAAGGGAGUGGCACACACACUUUGCUGCACUCCAAGCUUUUGGGGGUCCAGCGGCACACUGCGCAUUGCUUUCAUAAACGUGUGUGCAGAGUGCAAGACAGAGAGGGGCAAGGAUGGAGGAUGCUUCAACAUUCACAGCAUCAUUGGUUCAUGCUUUCUUUUUUUGUGGAAAGUUGUGCACACAGUUUUAACCGAAGGAUUAUAUGUCAUCCUUCAUAUUCAUAGAUUUCAUGACUUAACAUUGUGUUGACCUUUGUACAACAAAUCACUUCAUUACAUAUAGCUUAUAUUUAGCUACAAGGAGUAACAGUUUAUGAAAUUUGAAAUAUAUAAAAAGUGACUUAUAAGAGAUCAUGCAAUAUGAAGAUCUGUAUAAGCAUGAUCUAGUCGUGUCAGUCUUAACUGUUACGAUUGUAUAGAUAUGAACCAUUGUCCAUUGCACUUCCUGCAGAUGGAAUUUCAGUCAAAACUGCAAGGUGUGUGUGUGUAUGUGUAUGUGCGCGCGCGCAGCUUUGUGGGCAAAUGUGUGGGCAAAUAUGCUAGAUAUUCCUUGAUGUCAAUAUCUUUCAUUUAGGGAAAAACUAUUGUAGGUAGUUAGGUUUAUAUACAUUUUUGAGUCAGAAUAUGAUUAGAUAGUAAGUUUCUCAACUUUCUAGAGCUUUGCUGUUAUUGCUCUGUGUAAGAUUUCAAGGGCCGUAUUCUACAAACCAUCAUAGCUAAUGACGUGUUCGUCGCGAGACAAAAUGGUGCAUAAUCUUCUCUUUGUUAUGUUUCUUUUGUUUGGAUACAAAGGCUAACUACUCCCAAAGUAGUAAUAUGAUGUUAAAAUAAUUCAAAUUGUAGAAAAUU